rnacentral:miRNA from 1 species
GAUUUUUCUGUGUUGGUGUAAUGUACUCAGGUGAAUCAUAUUCAUAUCAUAUUCACCUGAGUACAUUACAGCAACACAGAAAAAUCAUGAUUAUUAU